ACCAGACUCCUACGGGAGGCAGCAGUGGGGAAUAUUGGGCAAUGGAGGAAACUCUUACCCAGCAAUGCCGCGUGAAUGAAGAAGGUCCUCGGAUUGUAAAGUUCUUUAAUUGGGGACGAAAAAAAUGACGGUACCCAAGGAAUAAGCCCCGGCUAACUACGUGCCAGCAGCCGCGGUAAUACGUAGGGGGCAAGCGUUAUCCGGAUUUACUGGGUGUAAAGGGAGCGUAGACGGCAUGGCAAGUCAGAUGUGAAAGCCCGGGGCUCAACCCCGGGACUGCAUUUGAAACUGUCAGGCUGGAGUGCAGGAGAGGUAAGUGGAAUUCCUAGUGUAGCGGUGAAAUGCGUAGAUAUUAGGAGGAACACCAGUGGCGAAGGCGGCCUGCUGGGCUUUUACUGACGCUGAGGCUCGAAAGUGUGGGGAGCAAACAGGAUUAGAUACCCUCGUAU
rnacentral:rRNA from 1 species